GACGAACGCUGGCGGCGUGCUUAACACAUGCAAGUCGAACGGAAAGGCCCUGCUUUUGUGGGGUGCUCGAGUGGCGAACGGGUGAGUAACACGUGAGUAACCUGCCCUUGACUUUGGGAUAACUUCAGGAAACUGGGGCUAAUACCGGAUAGGAGCUCCUGCUGCAUGGUGGGGGUUGGAAAGUUUCGGCGGUUGGGGAUGGACUCGCGGCUUAUCAGCUUGUUGGUGGGGUAGUGGCUUACCAAGGCUUUGACGGGUAGCCGGCCUGAGAGGGUGACCGGCCACAUUGGGACUGAGAUACGGCCCAGACUCCUACGGGAGGCAGCAGUGGGGAAUAUUGCACAAUGGGCGGAAGCCUGAUGCAGCAACGCCGCGUGCGGGAUGACGGCCUUCGGGUUGUAAACCGCUUUCGCCUGUGACGAAGCGUGAGUGACGGUAAUGGGUAAAGAAGCACCGGCUAACUACGUGCCAGCAGCCGCGGUGAUACGUAGGGUGCGAGCGUUGUCCGGAUUUAUUGGGCGUAAAGGGCUCGUAGGUGGUUGAUCGCGUCGGAAGUGUAAUCUUGGGGCUUAACCCUGAGCGUGCUUUCGAUACGGGUUGACUUGAGGAAGGUAGGGGAGAAUGGAAUUCCUGGUGGAGCGGUGGAAUGCGCAGAUAUCAGGAGGAACACCAGUGGCGAAGGCGGUUCUCUGGGCCUUUCCUGACGCUGAGGAGCGAAAGCGUGGGGAGCGAACAGGCUUAGAUACCCUGGUAGUCCACGCUGUAAACGGUGGGUACUAGGUGUGGGGUCCAUUCCACGGGUUCCGUGCCGUAGCUAACGCUUUAAGUACCCCGCCUGGGGAGUACGGCCGCAAGGCUAAAACUCAAAGGAAUUGACGGGGCCCCGCACAAGCGGCGGAGCAUGCGGAUUAAUUCGAUGCAACGCGUAGAACCUUACCUGGGUUUGACAUGGAUCGGGAGUGCUCAGAGACGGGUGUGCCUCUUUUGGGGUCGGUUCACAGGUGGUGCAUGGCUGUCGUCAGCUCGUGUCGUGAGAUGUUGGGUUAAGUCCCGCAACGAGCGCAACCCUUGUUCACUGUUGCCAGCACGUUAUGGUGGGGACUCAGUGGAGACCGCCGGGGUCAACUCGGAGGAAGGUGGGGAUGACGUCAAGUCAUCAUGCCCCUUAUGUCCAGGGCUUCACGCAUGCUACAAUGGCUGGUACAGAGAGUGGCGAGCCUGUGAGGGUGAGCGAAUCUCGGAAAGCCGGUCUCAGUUCGGAUUGGGGUCUGCAACUCGACCUCAUGAAGUCGGAGUCGCUAGUAAUCGCAGAUCAGCAACGCUGCGGUGAAUACGUUCCCGGG
rnacentral:rRNA from 1 species